rnacentral:lncRNA from 1 species
AGCAUGCAAGAACAUCCAACAAAAUGCCUAGGGUGUCUUUUUUCAAUUACUUUACAAAGCUAAAAUAAUAUAAAUAACCUUGCUUUUUACUUACUGGUAUUGAACUUAGUCCAUCGUUUUGGGCUGUUCAUUGUUUCCUUGUAUUCCACCCCUUUAUUAAGCGACAUAUCCCCGUAGAAACCUUGUGUCUUAGAGUAAAUAGUGUUCAAGUCCUGAAUUAAUCAGGGACUACUGCAACAUAUAUACACUGCCCAGCAAGAUGAAUUUACACAUCUGCCUUUUCCUCUAAUUAUAAUUCCAGAGGUUGAAUAUCAACAGCAUAUGGGUAUAUCCACAUACAGGCAUGCAUACACACAUAUACAGGCACACACACUGUACAUUAAUCUCUCUUGGCUUAUCUGUUGCUGUCUUUAAUUUGUAUACUUCAAAAUUGAGUGGUGAGGUCAUUUAUUAGACUGUUCCUGUGAGUUUUAUGUAGUGAUAAGAAAGCAGUAACAUGCAAUCUGUUUUUAUAGAACUCACUUUCAUAAGUAUGAUCUAAUAUCUCCUUUCUUUAGCAGAGCAGUGAGGAAGAAGAGCUUUCAGAGCUAACCAAGAGUUAACUGGCUCCAUAUCAACUGUCACCAUUGUCUUACAUCUACAUAGCGGGCGAGAGUGCGAGAGAGCCAGAGAGAUAACAAUGAGACCAGAUCCUUAGUAUAUGGAGGACCUGACUCACUAUGCUUCUGCAGUGGAUGUUGCAUUUCAGAGCCAACAAACAGGAGGAGACGGUAAGCGCUUCAGAAAAUUAAGAUUUCCUGUAAGAAUACAAUGAACACAACAGCCCAGAUGCCUUGGAGUUGGACACUCUAGAAACACAGGUCAUCAAAGGGAUCUUUGUGAGGAUCCUAAACAACCACAGUUAAGCACCUGGAUUCCUGAGGUGAGCUGGUCCUUUUUUCCCUCAAAUGAUUAGCUUAUAUCCUUUCUUUUUCUUUACUCACUACAAGUUUCUUUGCUCUUUUGUGGAUUUGUUAAUUAUUUGAGGAUCCGAGCUCAUCCCUUUUUCCAUCUCAGCUUGAGAAUCCUGAAUAUGCCCAAG